rfam:Oryza glaberrima chromosome 4 Oglab04_0245_25, whole genome shotgun sequence.
AAAAAGACAAACCUUUGGUUUUCGUGUCCAACGUUUGACUGUCCGUCUUAUAUGAAAAUUUUUUAUAAUUAAUAUUUUUAUUGUUGUUAGAUGAUAAAACAUGAUUAAUACUUUAUGCGUGACUUGUCUUUUUAAUUUUUUCAUAAUUUUUUUAAACAAGACAGACGGUCAAACGUUAGACACGGAAAUCCAGAGUUUGUCUUUUU